CACUUUUUCAUCUCAAAACCCUCACUCCAACCCACCAUCACCCCUCCACCGUCACCCCUCCACCAUCCAUCUCAGGCACCACCAAAUUCGGCCACCGGACACCACUACACACCCCUUUCUCCACACAACACGCGUCAUCCACCGCGCGUAUGCCGGCAUCAACACCGCGCCUCCCUUACUACCAUCGAUCACCACCGGUCUGGCUCAACCGGCGUCAAUCGACGUCGGCGACACAAGCACUUCCAAAUAAGGGUACGCAUGUCUUCUCCCCCUUCUCACUUCAUGCCUAACAAGUCCAGAAACCCUAAAUGGCGAUGAGGUUUUCCACCGACGAUUAUCAGCAAUGACGACGUCGAUGAUUACCACAGUCCAUCAGAGGUACCCAAAUGUGACGGUUUUGAUUCGACUUCUUCUUCAGAGCUUUUCAUCUGUUUGUUGUAAUCGUCAUCGAUGCCUUUUCGCUUGCAGGUAAAUACAUUUCCAGUAGUGUGUAUUUAUUGCUUAGCCAUAUUAGUAUAUUGCUAUUAGUCAAUUUUUAUUAUCACUGAUACAUGUUAUUAGGUUCCCCAAAAUUUGUUGUGUUUACAUACCUACAUUUACUUUUGUGUCGGUUAACCAAACCAUUUUUUAUAUCAAUAGAAUUAACCAAAACUGUUUUUAACCCAAAUUUAUCGUUUAAAGAACAAACUCCAUCUCUUAAGUUUGACUGUUGGACUUGAAUUUGACUUUCGUAUAUAUAAAAGAUUUUAAUAUGAGUACAGAACUAUGGUGCGUUUUUUUUUUUUUUAUAAAAACGGGUACUGGUAUUUUGGGCCAAGUGAAGCUCCAGGGCUUAACAAAUGGGUCGGUCGUUGACCUUUCAUCUCAACAAUGGACAUAUUGAGUUGGAUUCAAAGGAGAAGCACAAGGCCAGGACACUGGUGGUUCGUCACUUUGGAUCUCAGGGUCCCCUAAAACUCAACCUCAGACUUGGUACAAGACUUCACGGGAAUGGGGAAAGGCGAAACGUGGGUCAAUGGUCAAAUCAUCGGACGUUAUUGGUCUGCUAAUAUUGCUCCAAGUAACAGUUGCUCAGAUUGUAGUUACAAAGAACCAUGUUUGAACUGUUGAUAACUUAUUAUGUUAACUGUACUUGCACAUAUUGUAUCACAACAAAGGACAUGAUAAAUGCUUGCAACCAUACCUGAAUAAAUAAAUCACAAUAUUACUAACAUGAUGAAUGCUUGCAACCAUACCUGAAUAAAGCUAACCAAACACGUCGCGCAACGCGCGACAUCGAAUACCCCUAGUUAAUAUAAUCUACCUUGGACCAAAAUAAUCAUCAUCAGCCCAUGUAUUUGUUUUAACACAUAUCGAAUUAAUAUAAUCUACCUUGGACCAAAAUAAUCAUCAUCAGCCCAUGUAUUUGUUGACUUGAAUUAUCAUCCCUAAAUUUAUCCACUUCGUUCAAAAAAAAAAAAAAAAAAAAAAAGACUAUUUUGUCCA